CCUACGGGAGGCAGCAGUGGGGGAUAUUGCACAAUGGGGGAAACCCUGAUGCAGCGACGCCGCGUGAGCGAUGAAGCAUUUCGGUAUGUAAAGCUCUAUCAGCAGGGAAGAAAAUGACGGUACCUGACUAAGAAGCCCCGGCUAACUACGUGCCAGCAGCCGCGGUAAUACGUAGGGGGCAAGCGUUAUCCGGAUUUACUGGGUGUAAAGGGAGCGUAGACGGCAGUGCAAGUCUGAAGUGAAAGGCAAGGGUUCAACCCUGGGACUGCUUUGGAAACUGUGAUGCUGGAGUGUCGGAGAGGCAAGUGGAAGUCCUAGUGUAGCGGUGAAAUGCGUAGAUAUUAGGAGGAACACCAGUGGCGAAGGCGGCAUACCGGCGCCCAACUGACGCUGAAGCACGAAAGCGUGGGUAUCGAACAGGAUUAGAUACCCCGGUAGUC
rnacentral:rRNA from 1 species